UUUAGGUAGAAACAUUCAGAGUUUAAUCAACCUUGUUUGAUCUGACAUUAUUAAUCAUGAAGUUCUUCGCUGUUCUCCUCUUGGCUUUUGCUGCCGCCUCAGCAACAACUAUGGAAGCAUAUAAGUACACCAACCGCAAUGGUGAUCAAUGUGUUUGUGUGGCUCCUCCUCCAGAACUUGAAGAACCAGAAAUAAUUCCUAAUAUUCCUGAUGAGAUUGCUGACGUUGGUUGUGCUCCUGAUGCCAGUGUUGCUGAAACGUUGAUUGCUCGCAAACAAAAUCUCGAAGAAUUGCUCGAACAAUUGCGCAAACACCAGCGCAAACACCUGCGCAAACACCAUCUCUAAACUCUAAACGUUUUGAUGCAAUGAUAUCUGAAAAUCUGAAUCUGAGAUUUGAAAUAAAUCGAUUUAAACUUUA